rnacentral:rRNA from 1 species
CCUACGGGUGGCAGCAGUCGAGAAUCAUUCACAAUGGGGGAAACCCUGAUGGUGCGACGCCGCGUGGGGGAAUGAAGGUCUUCGGAUUGUAAACCCCUGUCAUGUGGGAGCAAAUUAAAAAGAUAGUACCACAAGAGGAAGAGACGGCUAACUCUGUGCCAGCAGCCGCGGUAAUACAGAGGUCUCAAGCGUUGUUCGGAAUCACUGGGCGUAAAGCGUGCGUAGGCUGUUUCGUAAGUCGUGUGUGAAAGACGCGGGCUCAACCCGCGGACGGCACAUGAUACUGCGAGACUAGAGUAAGGGAGGGGGAACCGGAAUUCUCGGUGUAGCAGUGAAAUGCGUAGAUAUCGAGAGGAACACUCGUGGCGAAGGCGGGUUCCUGGACAUUAACUGACGCUGAGGCACGAAGGCCAGGGGAGCGAAAGGGAUUAGAUACCCCAGUAGUC